GACGAACGCUGGCGGCGUGCUUAACACAUGCAAGUCGAACGGAAAGGCCCUGCUUGCAGGGUACUCGAGUGGCGAACGGGUGAGUAACACUUGGGUGAUCUGCCCUGCACUUCGGGAUAAGCCUGGGAAACUGGGUCUAAUACCGGAUAGGAGCCAUUUUUAGUGUGAUGGUUGGAAAGUUUUUUCGGUGUAGGAUGAGCUCGCGGCCUAUCAGCUUGUUGGUGGGGUAAUGGCCUACCAAGGCGGCGACGGGUAGCCGGCCUGAGAGGGUGGACGGCCACAUUGGGACUGAGAUACGGCCCAGACUCCUACGGGAGGCAGCAGUGGGGAAGAUUGCACAAUGGGCGCAAGCCUGAUGCAGCGACGCCGCGUGGGGGAUGACGGCCUUCGGGUUGUAAACUCCUUUCGCUAGGGACGAAGCUUUUUGUGACGGUACCUAGAUAAGAAGCACCGGCUAACUACGUG
rnacentral:rRNA from 1 species